GACAGAGGGUGCAAACGUUGUUCGGAAUUACUGGGCGUAAAGCGCGUGUAGGCGGCCCUGCAAGUCGGGUGUGAAAUCCCACGGCUCAACCGUGGAAGUGCACUCGAAACUGCAAGGCUAGAGUCCUGGAGAGGAAGGUGGAAUGCUUGGUGUAGAGGUGAAAUUCGUAGAUAUCAAGCGGAACACCGGUGGCGAAGGCGGCCUUCUGGACAGUGACUGACGCUGAGACGCGAAAGCGUGGGGAGCAAACAGG
rnacentral:rRNA from 1 species